UACGUAGGGUGCGAGCGUUGUCCGGAAUUACUGGGCGUAAAGAGCUCGUAGGUGGUUUGUCGCGUUGUUCGUGAAAACCGGGGGCUUAACCCUCGGCGUGCGGGCGAUACGGGCAGACUUGAGUACUGCAGGGGAGACUGGAAUUCCUGGUGUAGCGGUGGAAUGCGCAGAUAUCAGGAGGAACACCGGUGGCGAAGGCGGGUCGCUGGGACGGUACUGACGCUGAGGCGCGAAAGCGUGGGGAGCGAACAGG
rnacentral:rRNA from 1 species